CAAGUCGAACGAGAAUGUAGACUUCGGUCUACUAGUAAAGUGGCGGACGGGUGCGUAACACGUGGGUAAUCUACCUUCCGGCGGGGGACAACAGUCCGAAAGGAUUGCUAAUACCGCGUACGUCAGCGGCGCCUACGGGCGCUGUUGGGAAAGAUGGCCUCUCCUUGGAAGCUAUCACCGGAAGAUGAGCCCGCGUCCCAUCAGCUAGUUGGUGAGGUAAUGGCUCACCAAGGCUAAGACGGGUAGCUGGUCUGAGAGGAUGAUCAGCCACACUGGGACUGCGACACGGCCCAGACUCCUACGGGAGGCAGCAGUGGGGAAUAUUGGGCAAUGGGCGAAAGCCUGACCCAGCCACGCCGCGUGAGUGAUGAAGGCCUUCGGGUCGUAAAGCUCUGUGGGGAGGGACGAACAAGCCCUGGGCUAAUCACCAGGGACCUGACGGUACCUCCUUAGCAAGCACCGGCUAACCCUGUGCCAGCAGCCGCGGUAAUACAGGGGGUGCAAACGUUGCUCGGAAUCAUUGGGCGUAAAGCGCACGUAGGCGGUCUGUUAUGUCGGAUGUGAAAGCCCUUGGCUUAACUGAGGAAGUGCAUCCGAAACUGGCAGGCUAGAGUACUAAAGAGGGUCGCGGAAUUCCCGGUGUAGAGGUGAAAUUCGUAGAUAUCGGGAGGAACACCCGGUGGCGAAAGGCGGCGACCUGGGUAAAUACUGACGCUGAGGUGCGAAAGCGUGGGGGAGCAAACAGGAUUAGAUACCCUGGUAGUCCACGCCCGUAAACGAAUGAGUGCUAGAUGUUUCUGGUAUUGACCCCCGGAGGCGU
rnacentral:rRNA from 1 species